UACAGGGGGGGCAAGCGUUGUUCGGAAUUACUGGGCGUAAAGGGUCUGUAGGUGGCCAACUAAGUCAGACGUGAAAUCCCUCAGCUUAACUGGGGAACUGCGUCUGAUACUGGAUGGCUUGAGUGUGGGAGAGGAAUGCGGAAUUCCAGGUGUAGCGGUGAAAUGCGUAGAGAUCGGGAGGAACACCCGUGGCGAAGGCGGCCAUCUGGACCAGUACUGACGCUGAGGCACGAAAGCGUGGGGAGCAAACAGG
rnacentral:rRNA from 1 species